GGCUUUGUGAUCGAGUGGUAAAGACAUUAGCCUCUUACCCUGGAGUUUAGGGUUCGAUCCCCGGUCGAGGAGCCA